UUGACUGCGGAUCCGUAGCGGAUGCAGGCAAUGAGGCAGUGAUCGCUGAGAUCCUGGUUGAAGACAGCGGAGGUGUAUUUGGAGGGCCAGUUGGUCAGGAUGACAUCUAUGAGGGUGCCCUUGUUUACAGAUUUAGGGUUGUACCUGGUGGGUUCCUUGAUGAUUUGUGUGAGAUUGAGGGCAUCUAGCUUAGAUUGUAGGACUGCCGGGGUGUUAAGCAUAUCCCAGUUAAGGUCACCUAACAGAACAAACUCUGAAGCUAGAUGGGGGGCAAUCAAUUCACAAAUGGUGUCCAGGGCACAGCUGGGAGCUGAGGGGGGUCGGUAGCAGGCGGCAACAGUGAAAGACUUAUUUCUGGAGAGAGUUAUUUUUAAAUUUAGUCGUUCGAACUGUUUGGGUAUGGACCUGGAAAGUAUGACAUUACUUUGCAGGCUAUCUCUGCAGUAGACUGCAACUCCUCCCCCUUCGGCAGUUCUAUCUUGACGGAAAAUGUUAUAGUUGGGUAUGGAAAUCUCCGAAUUUUUGGUGACCUUCCUGAGCCAGGAUUCAGACACGGCAAGGACAUCAGGGUUAGCAGAGUGUGCUAAAGCAGUGAGUAAAACAAACUUAGGGAGGAGGCUUUUGAUGUUGACAUGCAUGAAACCAAGGCUUUUUCGAUCACAGAAGUCAACAAAUGAGGGUGCCUGGGGACAUGCAGGGCCUGGGUUUACCUCUACAUAAAGUGUUUCGUAGGGUCUCCUAGGAAACACUUAUCAACACUUUGUUUCCUACCCUGUCACAAUAAGUCCUCCCUGGCAUUUUCAUUCGUUGUCAUGUCAAAUAACACUGUAUUCAAAAUGCCCUCUUAUAUUCUAACUAUGGAAUUAGAAUAAUCAUUCUAUUUCCAUGAUUCCAACAGUACUCCCAAGUACCACAGCAUCUUCCUGAUACCACUUAAGGCAAACAUUAGUUGUAUUAUGUGUUCCGUGAAGUGUCAAAUGCAUACUGUCAUUACUAAAGGUGUAGUUUGAAAAUAACUAGCCAGCAAGCAAUUUGUUUUGUUUUAUUUAGCCUGUGUUCUGUAGAAGUUAUUGUUUCAGAUCUUUCUCCACACAUACAAAUGUGUUCUUCAUUCCUGUAUGUGUUUGCACAUGGUUAAUCAAAGAAACCAUUUUCUUCCUCAGUGAACUCCUUGAUUGCAUUUAGAGUGAAUUUGGAGUCGGAUCUUGCAAUUAUCCUCCUCUUUUCAGAAGUCAGUAUGAACUGGUUAGCAUGAGUGACAACGAUGAGGCAUACGAGAGACAAAUAACUGUCCUGGAGAAAGAAAACAGACGGCUGAAGGAGAAGGACCAGUAUCAGCACCAGUAUUGGAGCCGAGCAUCCAAAACAGACUGACAUUGGAGGAGGGAUAAUGGUUUCAGAGGCAGCGCUCCGCUACAUUGAUCAUUCACACCACCGUAAGCUUACCAAUGGCCUUCUGACGCUGUUGUUCUCAAACGAGGAGCUGGCAGAGAGCAGCCUCAGAAAGAGGUGUAAUGCUCACAAGAAUGAUAAUGUCAAGAAGGGCCUUUGACAUCAGACGCCUUGAGCCCAUUGUUGGAUGUCAUGGAGAAAUGUGGUGUCGGAAAAAAAGAUGUAUUCACAAUUAUCGGCGUAAACUCAAUUAUGAAGACAAGCUGUCAAAAGGACUUAUUUCAAGGAGGAGGAGGAAAUAGAUAUCAUUGAACUACUGCCCAUCAUAUAUAUAUGUAUGUAUGUACAGUGGGGCAAAAAAGUAUUUAGUCAGCCACCACUUGCGCAAGUUCUCCCACUUAAAAAGAUGAGAGAGGCCUGUAAUUUUCAUCAUAGGUACACUUCAACUAUGACAGACAAAAUGAAUUUAUUUGCAAAUUAUGGUGGAAAAUAAGUAUUUGGUCAAUAACAAAAAUGUAUCUCAA